AACCAGCACCUCAAGUGGUCAGGAUGAUUAUUGGGCCUAAAGCAUCCGUAGCCGGCUCUGUAAGUUUUCGGUUAAAUCUGUACGCUCAACGUACAGGCUGCCGGGAAUACUGCAGAGCUAGGGAGUGGGAGAGGUAGACGGUACUCGGUAGGAAGGGGUAAAAUCCUUUGAUCUAUUGAUGACCACCUGUGGCGAAGGCGGUCUACCAGAACACGUCCGACGGUGAGGGAUGAAAGCUGGGGGAGCAAACCGGAUUAGAUACCCGGGUAGUCCCAGCUGUAAACUAUGCAAACUCAGUGAUGCAUUGGCUUGUGGCCAAUGCAGUGCUGCAGGGAAGCCGUUAAGUUUGCCGCCUGGGAAGUACGUACGCAAGUAUGAAACUUAAAGGAAUUGGCGGGGGAGCACCACAAGGGGUGAAGCCUGCGGUUCAAUUGGAGUCAACGCCAGAAAUCUUACCCGGAGAGACAGCAGAAUGAAGGUCAAGCUGAAGACUUUACCAGACAAGCUGAGAGGUGGUGCAUGGCCGUCGCCAGCUCGUGCCGUGAGAUGUCCUGUUAAGUCAGGUAACGAGCGAGAUCCCUGCCUCUAGUUGUCACCAUUGCUCUCAGGAGCAGUGGGGCGAAUUAGCGGGACCGCCGUAGUUAAUACGGAGGAAGGAAGGGGCCACGGCAGGUCAGUAUGCCCCGAAACUCUGGGGCCACACGCGGGCUGCAAUGGUAACGACAAUGGGUUUCGAAUCCGAAAGGAUGAGGUAAUCCUCAAACGUUACCACAGUUAUGACUGAGGGCUGCAACUCGCCCUCACGAAUAUGGAAUCCCUAGUAACUGCGUGUCAUUAUCGCGCGGUGAAUACGUCCCUGCUCCU
rnacentral:rRNA from 1 species